GACGAACGCUGGCGGCGUGCUUAACACAUGCAAGUCGAACGGAAAGGCCCUGCUUGCAGGGUACUCGAGUGGCGAACGGGUGAGUAACACGUGGGUGAUCUGCCCUGCACUUCGGGAUAAGCCUGGGAAACUGGGUCUAAUACCGGAUAGGAGCCAUUUUUAGUGUGAUGGUUGGAAAGUUUUUUCGGUGUAGGAUGAGCUCGCGGCCUAUCAGCUUGUUGGUGGGGUAAUGGCCUACCAAGGCGGCGACGGGUAGCCGGCCUGAGAGGGUGGACGGCCACAUUGGGACUGAGAUACGGCCCAGACUCCUACGGGAGGCAGCAGUGGGGAAUAUUGCACAAUGGGCGGAAGCCUGAUGCAGCGACGCCGCGUGGGGGAUGACGGCCUUCGGGUUGUAAACCCCUUUCGCAUGGGACGAAGCUUUUUGGGCGGUGACCGAGAAAAAAACCCCCGCUAACCACGGG
rnacentral:rRNA from 1 species